GCCGGGGUGGCGGAAUGGUAGACGCGGACGGCUCAAACCCGUCUGUCACGAGAGUGAUGUAGGGGUUCGACUCCCCUCCCCGGCACAA
rnacentral:tRNA from 2 species